rnacentral:misc_RNA from 1 species
UACGGAGGGGGCGAGCGUUGUUCGGAAUUACUGGGCGUAAAGGGCGCGCAGGCGGUUGGUCGCGUCAGAUGUGAAAGCCCCGGGCUUAACCUGGGAGGUGCAUUUGAUACGGGCUGACUUGAGAUCGGAAGAGGAGUGUGGAAUUCCCAGUGUAGAGGUGAAAUUCGUAGAUAUUGGGAGGAACACCGGUGGCGAAGGCGGCACUCUGGUCCGUAUCUGACGCUGAGGCGCGAAAGCGUGGGGAGCAAACAGG